rnacentral:rRNA from 1 species
UACGGGGGGGGCGAGCGUUGUUCGGAAUUAUUGGGCGUAAAGGGCGCGUAGGCGGUGUGGUAAGUCUGUUGUGAAACCUCCAGGCUCAACUUGGAGCUUGCAUCAGAAACUGCCGUGCUAGAGUGUGGGAGAGGAGAGUGGAAUUCCUGGUGUAGCGGUGAAAUGCGUAGAUAUCUGGAGGAACACCGGUGGCGAAGGCGGCAUCCUGGACCGACACUGACACUGAGGAGCGAAAGCCAGGGGAGCAAACGGG